rnacentral:misc_RNA from 1 species
CCACCCCCACCUUACUCUUCGUCUGCCCACCACAACUACCCGUCCCCGCCUCCCCCUUCAGUGGUUGCUCCGUCUCCGUACAACCACGAGCCGUCGGGUCCUCCUCCUUCUACCCACGGCAACAAGCGUGCGGUGAUAUGCGGGGUCUCUUAUAAGAACACCAGGAAUGAGCUCAUGGGGUGCGUUAAUGACGCUAAGUGCAUGAAGUACUUGUUGGUUAACAGAUUCAAAUUCCCGGAAUCCUCCAUUGUUAUGCUCACCGAAGAAGAAACCGAUCCUUAUAGGCGCCCAACCAAGCACAACAUGAGAAUGGCAUUGUACUGGUUGGUGCAAGGUUGUAAGCCUGGAGAUUCACUGGUGUUUCACUUUUCUGGCCACGGUUCACAGCAGAGGAAUUACUCGGGGGAUGAGGUGGAUGGAUAUGAUGAAACACUUUGUCCAACUGAUUUUGAAACUCAGGGAAUGAUUGUGGAUGAUGAGAUCAAUGCCACAAUUGUCAGACCUCUUCCUCGUGGGGUUAAGCUUCAUGCAAUUAUCGAUGCUUGCCAUAGUGGCACUGUGUUGGAUUUACCAUUUCUCUGCAGAAUGGACAGGAAUGGGAGGUAUUUCUGGGAGGAUCAUCGCCCUCGAUCAGGAGUAUGGAAAGGAACAAAUGGUGGGGAAGCUAUCUCCUUUAGUGGCUGUGACGAUAAUGAAACCUCUGCUGACACUUCGGCUCUCUCGAAAGUUACUUCAACAGGUGCAAUGACUUACUCUUUCAUCCAAGCUAUUGAGC